GUGAACGCUGGCGGUAGGCCUAACCCAUGCAAGUCGAACGGCAGCACAGUAAGAGCUUGCUCUUACGGGUGGCGAGUGGCGGACGGGUGAGGAAUACAUCGGAAUCUACUUUUUCGUGGGGGAUAACGUAGGGAAACUUACGCUAAUACCGCAUACGACCUACGGGUGAAAGCAGGGGAUCUUCGGACCUUGCGCGAUUGAAUGAGCCGAUGUCGGAUUAGCUAGUUGGCGGGGUAAAGGCCCACCAAGGCGACGAUCCGUAGCUGGUCUGAGAGGAUGAUCAGCCACACUGGAACUGAGACACGGUCCAGACUCCUACGGGAGGCAGCAGUGGGGAAUAUUGGACAAUGGGCGCAAGCCUGAUCCAGCCAUACCGCGUGGGUGAAGAAGGCCUUCGGGUUGUAAAGCCCUUUUGUUGGGAAAGAAAAGCAGCAGGUUAAUACCCCGCUGUUCUGACGGUACCCAAAGAAUAAACACCGGCUAACUUCGU
rnacentral:rRNA from 1 species